UAAGUGCCCAACUCUCCCUUUCGUUCUUACACGUUGCUUCGAGUUUUACUGUCUGCAACUGCAGUCUAGCAUUACAAGCAAUUGCAGGACUUGCCAUGUUCACGUGUGCUGCGCAUUGCGGUUCUUCAUGCUGACUGGCAGCGUGUUAUGGCGUCAUCAGGGGACUGGAAUCCAAAUAUGGCUGUUUUGUUUAUCCGACUCUGUAGAAACAUACAAGGGUUAACUAAUAAAACCAGCAUCUAGCUAAUUACUGUAAUAUUAAAAAAUGUGUAUCUGCAUUGAUCAUUCUGAAAAAAUUUUUAAAACUGUAUAUUCUGCGGAUAUUCGUUAUUACCACUCUUUAUUGACAAAGCGGGAAUUAAAUAUCUCAAACCGCAUCUUCACAGAAUCAAAAUUAGGGAAAUCGUACGUAUUCAGGCGGAACAAUGUGGUAAUCAGAAUGGUGUAAAGAAACUGAGAGACAACGCUGGGAUUCAAUUUCAACUUAUAACCGGAAGCGUUGUUCAUUGCAUCCAAAAAUUGAAUACGCCUUGUUGUUUAAAAAAAAAUCGCCCAUUGACCUUAACUUAACAAAACAAUAAGGAAUGGUUAAGGUUUCCAGUUGGCUCAUUGGACCUGGAAUGAUCUCCAAGAUUUGGGAGGAAUAUCCCGAUAGGAUUAUGAACACUUUCAGUGUUAUGCCAUCUCCAAAGAUUUCUGACACAGUUGUGGAACCUUAGCUACUCUUUCUGUCCACUUGCUUGUGGAAAACACAGAUGAAACCUUCUGUAUUGACAAUGAAGCUCUGUAUGACAUUUGUUUCUGUACUCUCAAACUGACCACUUCGAAUUAUGGUGACAUCUAAUGAAUCAAAAAAGAAAAGAAAACGAAAGUACAGUAUGCGUACUUGUGCAGAUGGAAUGACAGUCGCUUCGACUAGGCUGUGUUCAGCUCCACGUUUUUCUUACCCUCAGAAUUAAUCUUCACAGAACUAAAACACUGUGUUCUUGGAGUAUGUCUUCAUCGAUGAUAUCCUACUAUAAGUGACUAAAGAAAGUGUGCCUAAGUUCGACAGGUAAACUCGUUUUCUUUGUCCAGUCAACAGCGCCACCUCGCAACCUCUGUUCUGUCAUAUCACUAGUCGGCUAUAUCGUUUAGAUAACGUGAACUCGGCCAUUAAAGGAUAUUACAGUUACUCCUUUCAACCCAGCUGCUAUAUGUUACUGCAAUAUCCUCAUAGGCAGAAAAGACAUUAUCGACUUUAGAGAGAAAAAAAAAAGCAACCACAACAAGUCAAUCUCAAAGGCUCUCUGGACCACAUAUUGCCGCCAUUACAGCAUGGAAUCUAAAUAGCCAAAACAUUUCUAUACAU